rnacentral:rRNA from 1 species
GAAUAUUGGACAAUGGGGGAAACCCUGAUCCAGCCAUGCCGCGUGUGUGAAGAAGGUCUUCGGAUUGUAAAGCACUUUCAGUUGGGAGGAAGGGUAGUAACUUAAUACUUUGCUAUUUUGACGUUACCGACAGAAUCAGCACCGGCUAACUUCGUUCCAUCAGCCGCGGUAAUACGAAGGGUGCAAGCGUUAAUCGGAAGUACUGGGCGUAAAGCGCGCGUAGGUGGUUCAGUAAGUUGGAUGUGAAAUCCCCGGGCUCAACCUGGGAACUGCAUCCAAAACUGCUGAACUAGAGUACGGUAGAGGGUGGUGGAAUUUCCUGUGUAGCGGUGAAAUGCGUAGAUAUAGGAAGGAACACCAGUGGCGAAGGCGACCACCUGGACUGAUACUGACACUGAGGUGCGAAAGCGUGGGGAGCAAACAGG